CUUCACUCAAGGCAGAAGCCUUCGUUACCAUCUUUGGACAUCCCGCUUUAGGAUGACAACCAGCGAAACGUACACACGAAUAUAGAACGUCGCAAGGCAGUUCCAAUAUUCCUGCUUGUAUCGGCGACCUUAAUGUCGUAUGACUUGCUUAAUGGGGUCACUUAACAUCUUCCUGGGCCUAGUCGCUGCUGUGUUCCCAGACUACAUUUUCAGCGCUGGCAUUUAUUCCUAUGUGCCCACGACCAUUAGCGUACCUCCUGAGGAAAGCGAGAUUUCGCAUUUUAUUCCCGCAGUGCCGUUAUCAAACACCAGGUUUCAUUGGUACCAGGUACCGUACUCUGCGGUUCAGCUAAGCAGUCCUCAGCCUACUGCAGACACCUUAAGCAACACUGAAACAAGAACGAUAGAGAUAACAAAAAUUGUACACGAGCCUUCAGUGGUGACCACGACAACUUCUCUCUUUCUUGAACCUCCGGCGGCUAGCAACCUCUCGGCAGAUUCCCCUCCACCUGUGGUUUCGAGUCCGCGCGCUACGAACAGAACGGCUCGACUUUCUUCAGGCGGAAGAAGCAAGAAAGCGACUCCUAAUCCAACUAAGGUUCCUCACGUUACGUAUGCAUCGGCCAACACGGUCUUUCACGUUCCAGGACCGCCACGGUAUGGGCUAAAACCACCCUCGCAUGUUCUUCCUCCCACUUCUAGGAAUGCUAGAGUGAACCCUCCGCCAAUGACUUUGAAUCGAAAUACUACGAAAACCACCUCUCAACUAUUGUUAGGCGAGGGAAGACAGGCAGUGACUAUAAUUGCAAGCAACAUUCCGCACAUCACGUAUACACCGACUAAGACAGUAGUCUACAUUCCAGACCCGCCACGGUAUGCGCUAAAACCACCCCCGCAUGCUCCUCCUCCCACCUCUAGGAAUGGUGGACUGAAUCCUCCCCCAAUCACUUUGAAUCGAAAUACUACGAAAACCACCUCUCAACUCUCUUCAGGCGAGGGAAGCCAGGCAGCGACUAUAAUUACAAGCAACAUUCCGCACAUCGCGUAUACACCGACUAAGACAGUAGUCUACAUUCCAGACCCGCCACGGUAUGCGCUAAAAUCACCCCCGCAAGUUCCUCCUCCUGCCUUUAGAAAUACCGGGGAGGGUACCAGAAAAAGUGAGAAACAUACGCACCACACACAAAAAGUUCUACUUGCCACUAGUCCCAGCGUGUUUCAUAUUGGAUCACCUUCGGAUAUCGCGGAUAUACACACACUUUCGCCGACUUCGACGAAGCUUUCAUUAAAAAUUCUUAAGUAUCCUGCGAAGAACAUGCACAACGCACAUUCGGUUAUCAUUUCGCCUAGCCCCACCUUACUUCAAAUCGCUGCACCUUCACCAGUUUCAUUUAGCCAAGCUCUUUCGCCAGAUACGACUAUGACCCCGACAGCGAAAGCGACAAGUAUAGCACACAGCUCAGUUCAGCCACCUGCCGCAGUGGUGUUAAAUGCCCCCACAAUAGUAAAUGUGCUCGUUCCGACGCCAACAAUGAGGACAACAGCUCCUUCAAAACCUUCUACGUUGCCUCCCAAACAAGUUUUUGAAAAUUCCAUUCCUUCGCCGCGCGUGGUCGCCCCGACAGCGCCCACCGUGCUCGUAAAGUCUCCCACCGCAAAACCAUUCAUGGCACUGGUAACGUCACGACCGACUACGGCGCGUCCAGCGAAACAAGUUGCGAAGAAGGAAAUCUCUAAGAGACGGCCCAAGACGGCCGUCACAAUCACCAGGCCUCCAAGUGUCUAUCAAGCACCACUACUCACAGCAAAAGGCAAUGGAAGUUCUAUUAUAAAGAAUUUUACCCAAACUACGGUUACCAAUUCGACAAUGACCGUCUCUUACAAUGGAACGUCUCAUGGACAUAACCGACACUCCAUCCCGACUAAGCUUCUUCCCACUACUCGCGCUCCAACUUCACACAAAACACCGACGCGAGCCUCCAUGGCCGCUGGCUCGAAGAUUCAUUACAGACAAAUUAAAAAGAAGAUUGUUCAGGGUGCUCUUAGAGUGACUCAACAUGCACCCAGCGUAAGAACUUCGCUGUCUGCUGGGGCACAGGUGAAACUGGCGAAAUCGGCUGUCUCGGUGCAGCCACCUCCAGUAAUCUUGAAGUUUCCUCCCGGCAACAAGACAAUUUCGCCAACCGUCACGGUCGCUAAAUCUUCCACCGUCGUUGGAGCCGCUCCUACUGCGCUGACGAAAAACACAGAGGCUCUAGAGAUCGUGAAAACAAAGUCUUCUGCUAAACCUACAGCUCUUCCUCCUACACCCGGAAGCAAAUGGCCCACAGCCGCUCUCGGAGUCCGCAAACACCAUGUCGUCGUGGGAAAGACAAGUACUAGCACUGUGACUGAGUUGAAGAAACCGGGUAUCUUCAAGUUAGCAGCAGCGAUGACAUCAUCGGCCGCAGCAAAAGCGCUGAAACAAGCUGGACCAAUUAUCGGAAAAUCACAGGACCCAUUGGUUGGCGGAAGCGGUACGGAGAUCAUUGCGCAGCCGAUCGUGGUGUUAGAGAAUUCCACAAUGCAGCGCCCGCCACCUGUCAUACUUUUCUAAUGCCUCUAAAAACUUUCUCUUCGCGCCAGGUACCAUGAUCGCACGCAACCUUACCAGGCAGCUGAGCACAUUUCAAAGGCCUUAAAAAUUAAGCAGAACUGCCUGAAGAUAUGUGUGUUCAUCAGUGCCACCAACAAAAUAAAGAUGCAACAAAACAAGGAGAACCUUUGUCCUUCAAAGACUAUCUUAAAUAAAAUUUUUGCUUCGAGUU